rnacentral:lncRNA from 1 species
CUUAGUUACAGAAUCAUCACUGGAGCUAUCCCAUGGGACCCAGUGCUGCGUGUGUCCUGGAAACCACCUGAGGGAGGUCACAGCCCUUAUGCACCUACUGCUCACUCAGCCCCAUAAUGACUGUUCUUAACCCAUCUAUGGAUUGUGAAGUUUAUCUAGUUGUUUAUAACUUUUUUUUUAGCGAAAUAGAAUAGAAAACAUCAAAGUGCAUACGUGUAGCAAAGGUGGAGUCUCGCUCUGUCUCCCAGGCUGGAGUGCAGUGGCGCGAUCUCGGCUCACUGCAAGCUCUGCCUCCCGGGUUCACACCAUUCUCCUGCCUCAGCCUCCGGAGUAGCUGGGACUACAGGCGCCCGCCACCACGCCCGGCUAUUUUGUAUUUUUAGUAGAGACAGGGGUUUCACCGUGUUUGCCAGGACGGUCUUGAUCUCCUGACCUCGUGAUCCGCCCACCUCGGCCUCCCAAAGUGCUGGGAUUACAGGCGUGAGCCACCCUGCCAGGCCUCAUGUUUGCUUAUCUUAACCAAAAUGAGCCCUCGUUUCACUUUCCUGUUCUACCCUAAGGAAGAUAAAAUAUCAUUCCAACUUGGGGUAGAGGCAGGUGCCAGUACCCAAGACCCUGGGCUGUGCAGCAGGGGCUACUGUAAACCCAAGACCCUAAACUUCCUCCCUCUGCCAGAGCCAGGGAGCAGCUCUGACGCCCUCUAGCCCCUUCUCCGUUAGCCUCGAUUUCAAAUAAAAA